rfam:Sorghum bicolor cultivar BTx623 chromosome 9, whole genome shotgun sequence.
AUUCCAUGGUGGGGACAUUCUAGGAUGUAGUCUUGGAAGCGCUCCCAUGCUUCUGGAACAGAUUCAUCGUUUUGUUGCCGAAAACUUGUAAUCUUCCCACGGAGAGC